rnacentral:misc_RNA from 1 species
UUGAGUAAAGGCGCUCUUAUCCAGAGGCCUAAAAAUCUCAUUUUUCACUCUGUGCACAUAUUGACAUUUGGAAAUGGGCCAGUCAAAAUUGUAAUGUGAAUACGCUUGAGUUGAUUAACCCAAGUGUAUUUCAUUUCAUAAGUCUGUAACCCAGAUUACAUUUGUCCUUUCAUAUAUAAACAUGUCGUUUUUAUAUAACAAAAAUCAUAACAAAAA